rnacentral:rRNA from 1 species
GCCACAUGACCACCCCCUUACUUAACGAGUACCUUUCGUACUUCUUCGGCGGGGCAACCCGCCGCUAGGGACCACAUUAAACCUUUUUUGCAUCCAGCAUUACAAUUUCUGAUAAAAACAUAAUCGUAACAACAUUCAACAAUGGAUCUCUUGGUUCUGGCAUCGAUGAAGAACGCAGCGAAAUGCGAUAAGUAGUGUGAAUUGCAGAAUUCAGUGAAUCAUCGAAUCUUUGAACGCACAUUGCGCCCCUUGGUAUUCCAUGGGGCAUGCCUGUUCGAGCGUCAUUUACACCCUCAAGCUCUGCUUGGUGUUGGGCGUCUGUCCCGCAGUUUUGCGCGGACUCGCCUCAAAGGUAUUGGCAGCGGUCGUGCCAGCUUCUCGCGCAGCACAUUGCGCUUCUUGAAGCCCUGGUGGAUCAGCGUCCAUUAAGCUCACCUUCAUGACUUUGACCUCGGAUCAGGUAGGGAUACCCGCUGAACUUAAGCAUAUCAAUAAGCGGAGGAAAAGAAACCAACUGGGAUUGCCCUAGUAACGGCGAGUGAAGCGGCAACAGCUCAAAUUUGAAAUCUGGCUCCCUUCAGGGGUCCGAGUUGUAAUUUGCAGAGGGUGCUUUGGCGUUGGUGGCGGUCUAAGUUCCUUGGAACAGGACAUCGCAGAGGGUGAGAAUCCCGUAUGUGGUCGCCUGCCUUCGCCGUGUAAAGCCCCUUCGACGAGUCGAGUUGUUUGGGAAUGCAGCUCUAAAUGGGAGGUAAAUUUCUUCUAAAGCUAAAUACCGGCCAGAGACCGAUAGCGCACAAGUAGAGUGAUCGAAAGAUGAAAAGCACUUUGGAAAGAGAGUCAAACAGCACGUGAAAUUGUUGAAAGGGAAGCGCUUGCAGCCAGACUUGCCCGUAGUUGUUCAUCUGGGUUCUUACCCGGAGCACUCUUCUGCGGGCAGGCCAGCAUCAGUUUGGGCGGCUGGAUAAAGGCCUCUGUCAUGUAUCUCCCUUCGGGGUGACCUUAUAGGGGAGGCGUAAUGCAGCCAGCCCGGACUGAGGUCCGCGCUUUUGCUAGGAUGCUGGCGUAAUGGCUGUAAGCGGCC